CUCCCGUUUCCGGAAUCCCCGCAGGCGCUGGGUCUGCAGAUGGCGUCCAGGUACACAGUGGCGAGUGUGAUUCCGCAGUCUUGGGCUGUUUGGCCAAGCGCCCGCCGGACAUGGUACGCCGAAGGGUCAUCGGCGUGGAGUCCUCGCUUUCAGCGUCCGCGGCUGGGAAAUCGGCCAUCGCUACGGCGGGAACUGGGACUCGGGCUGCGUCCCGGCCCUUCCACAUCGGUCCACCGCACUCGUGGGCGCCCGCAUUGGUGCUGACAUAAUUUCCUGACCUCUGACCCGUAUUGUCUCGCGAUUAAAGGUCCAGAUUUGGAACAAAUCUCUCUAGAGAUUGAACAGAGCUGCGCCUGGAUCCCUCAGCAGUGAGGAGACCUGAAGACCAGAGGAAACACAGCAAGUCCAGGCACUCCCACUCCUCCUGAGAGAAAUCUACAGCCACAUCCCUGAACAUCAUCAACUGUUGGAAAGAAUAAUUCCAAGUAUUAAUGGGGCUCACCAGAGAAGACAGGGCAAGGUGAGGGGGAUCUCCUAGCAGAGGAAACAACAUGCGCCAAUCAAGCAAAGAUAUUUUUGUGCAUUCAAGGAACACAGAGAGGAAAGACAGUGGCAGAUGGAGACGUAUAAAGCAGGGAUCCUGUUAUGAAAAGCCCUAAAAAAUAGGGUAUAGAGUUUGGGCCAUAUUUCAGAGGUAAUAAGAAAGCAUUCUGCAUUUUUAAAGUAAGGUUUAAAAAUGUUUCUAAUUAGAGAUACAGCAAAGUUGGUGUGAGAGGAUAAAGACUGAUAUACAUAAUCUGAGGAGUUCAUGAAAAUUCCAUGUAAAGCCUGUAGUAUGAAUUGGUCCUAGGAGACAGACAGCUUCAGGGGCAUAGAGAACUUUAAGCACUUUUCCAAGAAGAGUGAAGGGCUGGAGAAUAAAUUGUGAACUAAAAUAUA
rnacentral:lncRNA from 1 species